AUUGAACGCUGGCGGCAGGCCUAACACAUGCGAGUCGAGCGGAUGAAGGGAGCUUGCUCCUGGAUUCAGCGGCGGACGGGUGAGUAAUGCCUAGGAAUCUGCCUGGUAGUGGGGGAUAACGUCCGGAAACGGGCGCUAAUACCGCAUACGUCCUGAGGGAGAAAGUGGGGGAUCUUCGGACCUCACGCUAUCAGAUGAGCCUAGGUCGGAUUAGCUAGUUGGUGGGGUAAAGGCCUACCAAGGCGACGAUCCGUAACUGGUCUGAGAGGAUGAUCAGUCACACUGGAACUGAGACACGGUCCAGACUCCUACGGGAGGCAGCAGUGGGGAAUAUUGGACAAUGGGCGAAAGCCUGAUCCAGCCAUGCCGCGUGCGUGAAGAAGGUCUUCGGAUUGUAAAGCACUUUAAGUUGGGAGGAAGGGCAGUAAGUUAAUACCUUGCUGUUUUGACGUUACCAACAGAAUAAGCACCGGCUAACUUCGUG
rnacentral:rRNA from 1 species